rnacentral:rRNA from 1 species
AUUGGACGCUGGCGGAAUGCUUUACACAUGCAAGUCGAACGGCAGCACGGGGGCAACCCUGGUGGCGAGUGGCGAACGGGUGAGUAAUACAUCGGAACGUGCCCAGUCGUGGGGGAUAACGUAGCGAAAGUUACGCUAAUACCGCAUACAAUCUACGGAUGAAAGCGGGGGACCGUAAGGCCUCGCGCGAUUGGAGCGGCCGAUGUCAGAUUAGGUAGUUGGUGAGGUAAAGGCUCACCAAGCCGACGAUCUGUAGCUGGUCUGAGAGGACGACCAGCCACACGGGGACUGAGACACGGCCCAUACUCCUACGGGAGGCAGCAGUGGGGAAUUUUGGAAAAUGGGCGCAAGCCGGAUCCAGCCAUUCCGCGUGCAGGACGAAGGCCUUCGGGUUGUAAACUGCUUUUGUACGGAACGAAAAGGCUCUGGUUAAUACCUGGGGCUCAUGACGGUACCGUAAGAAUAAGCACCGGCUAACUACGUGCCAGCAGCCGCCGUAA